rnacentral:misc_RNA from 1 species
AAAACCUGUAAAAGCACACAAAAGGUCGUUUGACAACAUUGUUCUAAUAUAGAACCUCCAAUACCACCAAUAUGACGAAAUCUCAGAUACAUAAAAUCUCCAUUUGAUUUAAAAUUCAUUACAGGUUUCAUAUACCCAAAAAAUGGCAGCUCGGUCGGAGGAGGUACUACUGAUUGUGAACCAUGUGCGGAACAAGAAGACUGAUGGCACGCUGUACAUGAUGGGGGAGAGGAUGGGCUGGAUGCAGGGCAGCAAGAGCACCUUCUCCAUCAGCUAUAUGUAUGCUGAUAUCAAAGCACAGAAAAUUUCACCUGACUCAAAAGAAAAAGUUCAGCUUCAGUUGGUAUUGCAUGAUGGAGGAGCAAACACAUUUCAUUUCAUCAAUCCCAAGGGACGGUCAGCAGCCAUUGCUGACAGAGACGGGGUGAAGGAUCUACUACAACAACUGAUUCCAAAGUUCCGACGGAAACUCAGCAGUGAGCUGGAGGAGAAAAACAGGAUGCUCCAGGAAAACCCAGAGUUGUUCCAGUUAUACAAGGAUCUUGUGGUGACAGGAGUUAUCACUGCUGACGAGUUUUGGGCUUCAAGGAAGAAUCAGAGUACUGUCAAAACAGACAAGUCACAGAAUGUGGGAGUGUCAGCCGCUUUCCUGGCUGAUAUUAAACCUCAGACAGAUGGCUGUAAUGGACUGAAAUACAACCUUACUGCUGACGUGAUUGAGUCGAUAUUCCGCACAUACCCCAUGGGUAAGCCUGCUGAGCUCCAACAAUCAAAUUGUUGGAGCUCAAUAAAACCAACAAUUAUUGGCAAUGAUUUUAUUUCUAGAUGUGACAGCUAAUGAUUAGCUGGUUUGCAUUUAUAAUUUUUUGCAACAGAGCCUAUCUAGGGUACAUGUAUGUUGAUAUUCAAUAACAAAUACUACACUGAUUUAAAGACUGAUUCGCAAAUCUUGGCAAAGAUGAGAUUAUCAAAACCUUGUUUAAUUUUUUCUUACAUUUGCUAGCAACAGCAUAUUUCUUGGAAUAGAUGAUCAGUAUAUUGAAAAAUUGUUGUAGUGAAAAAGAUGCAUGCUGAGCAUGUUCCUCACAACAUGACAGAGAGUGAGUUUUGGACCAGAUUCUUCCAGUCCCAUUAUUUCCACAGAGAUCGGACAGUGAUGGGAUCAAAGGAUGUCUUCACAGAAUGUGCCAAAGUUGAUGAAAAAGAUAUGAAAGAAGAAAUAUCUUGUAAAAUGGUUGACUCAUUUUUGGAUCUCACAAAUAUAAAAGACUCUUCUCUCCAUGAGGAUUAUCGAGGUCUGACGGAAGACACAAGGAUUAGUAAUAAUGUGACAAAUGGAACCAUGAUUCGGAGAUUCAAUCAUCAUUCUACAAUGGUGCUGAAAGCAUGUACAAAAAACUCGCAAAAUGCUCAGAGCUCAAGUGCAGCAGACAAUUCUGUUCAGUCCAGUGAUACUCAAAAUGGAGAAGUGACACCCAAAGUGAAUGGUGUAGUAAACGGAGAGCAGGGGUCGAGUACCAGCAAAGAGUACUGGGAACCAUUGGCCAAAAAACAGAAAAUGCAGGAGAAGAUUCACAUGGAUGAUUUAGGAGACUUAAAGAGUAAAAAGAAUGUGAAUUUACACCUACACAAGAUGGAGGGUUAUCUACAUGGUCCCACUCCUCUCAUGAUGUCUCGCUACACAACCAGUGAGGACCUGGUUCAAUCCUCGGAGUCAGUGAUGCAGGACGUCUACCAGUGGUCACCUGACCUGUCAAAUGUGCUGUCUGGGUCACAAGCCAUUGUUAUCCUCAGUGAACUCUCACCAGGAGGGGCCCUAAUGAAAGGAACAAGUCAUCAAGAACUGAAUCAGAUUGUUCCCCCUGAUGUCCAGGAGGAGGUGAAGGCCAAUUAUAGCGCCCUGUUGGAACUGCUGCGCCACUUCUGGACCUGUUUCCCUGUGUCAUCCAAAUCCCUGGAAGAGAAGGUUGUAAAAAUGAAGUCAACAUUAGAGAGAUUUCAGAUGGCCAAGCUAAUUCCCCUCAAAGAACGACUUCAGGAGUACCACUACACUGUUAAUCUGACAAGUCACAUGGAGGAACUGCUGGCAGCAGCAAACAGGAAGUUUGACAUGUGGCAGUCCAGGAAGUCCACUGUCAAAAGGUGAUGGUCACACUAGGUUGUUGGUGCUAUGUUAUACAAUGGGAGCAGGUCGCACUAUGGGAGCAUGUCAUACUAUGCCGUAUGGGAGCAAAAUGUUAACUACAGAGGACAAUCAGACCUGAUUUCUGUGAUGAUGCUGUGGUCUUUGAUGCUAUGAAUGAAGAUACUGUUAAAUUUUAGUGUUUCUUUUGUGUCUUACUUUAUUCAAUGCAAUAAACUAAUUAUCUUC